UACGUAGGUGGCAAGCGUUGUCCGGAUUUAUUGGGUUUAAAGGGUGCGUAGGCGGCUUGAUAAGUCAGUGGUGAAAGCCGAUCGCUUAACGAUCGAAUUGCCAUUGAUACUGCCAGGCUUGAGUACAGUUGAGGUAGGCGGAAUUGACAGUGUAGCGGUGAAAUGCAUAGAUAUUGUCAAGAACACCAAUUGCGAAGGCAGCUUACUAAAGUGUAACUGACGCUGAGGCACGAAAGUGCGGGGAUCAAACAGG
rnacentral:rRNA from 2 species